rnacentral:rRNA from 1 species
ACUCAAAGGAAUAGACGGGGGCCCGCACAAGCGGUGGAUUAUGUGGUUUAAUUCGAAGCAACGCGCAGAACCUUACCUAGGUUUGACAUCCCAUGACAUCCUAAGAAAUUAGGCUUUGUAGCAAUACACAUGGAGACAGGUGCUGCAUGGCUGUCGUCAGCUCGUGUUGUGAAAUGUUGGGUUAAGUCCCGCAACGAGCGCAACCCCUGUGGUCUGUUGCCAGCAUUAAGUUGGGCACUCUGACCAGACCGCCGGCGUUAAGCCGGAGGAAGGUGGGGAUGACGUCAAGUCCUCAUGGCCCUUACACCUAGGGCUACACACGUAAUACAAUGGGUAGGACAAAGGGACGCCAACCAGCAAUGGGGAGCUAAUCUCAAAAACCUGCCCUCAGUUGGGAUUGGAGGCUGCAAUUCGCCUCCAUGAACGCGGAAUCGCUAGUAAUCGUGGAUCAGCACGCCACGGUGAAUACGUUCCCGGGCCUUGUACACACCGCCCGU